rnacentral:rRNA from 1 species
GCGGAGAAAUUCCAAACGAACUUGGAGAUAGCUGGUUCUCUCCGAAAUAGCUUUAGGGCUAGCCUCGGAAUUGAGAAUGAUGGAGGUAGAGCACUGUUUGGACUAGGGGCCCAUCUCGGGUUACCGAAUUCAGAUAAACUCCGAAUGCCAUUCAUUCAUAUCCGGGAGUCAGACUGUGAGUGAUAAGAUCCAUAGUCGAAAGGGAAACAGCCCAGACCACCAGCUAAGGUCCCAAAAUAUAUGUUAAGUGGAAAAGGAUGUG